rnacentral:rRNA from 1 species
CCUACGGGAGGCAGCAGUGGGGAAUAUUGGACAAUGGAGGCAACUCUGAUCCAGCAAUGCCGCGUGUGUGAUGAAGGCCCUAGGGUUGUAAAGCACUUUCAACGGUGAAGAUGAUGACGGUAGCCGUAGAAGAAGCCCCGGCUAACUUCGUGCCAGCAGCCGCGGUAAUACGAAGGGGGCGAGCGUUAUUCGGAAUUAUUGGGCGUAAAGGGCUCGCAGGCUGCUUGAACAGUUAGACGUGAAAUCCCCGGGCUUAACCUGGGAACUGCGUUUAAUACUAGCAAGCUAGAGAAAUAGAGAGGAAAGUGGAACUCCCAGUGUAGAGGUGAAAUUCGUAGAUAUUGGGAAGAACACCAGUGGCGAAAGCGACUUUCUGGCUAUUUUCUGACGCUGAGGAGCGAAAGCGUGGGGAGCAAACAGGAUUAGAUACCCUGGUAGUCCACGCCGUAAACGAUGUGUGCUAGAUGUUGGAGGGUUACCUUUCAGUGUCGCAGCUAACGCACUAAGCACACCGCCUGGGAAGUACGGUCGCAAGAUUAAAACUCAAAUGAAUUGACGG